rnacentral:rRNA from 1 species
UACGAAGGGUGCAAGCGUUACUCGGAAUUACUGGGCGUAAAGGGUGCGUAGGUGGUUUUUUAAGUCCGUUGUGAAAUCCCUGGGCUCAACCUGGGAAUGGCAGUGGAUACUGGAAAGCUAGAGUGCGGUAGAGGGUAGUGGAAUUCCCGGUGUAGCAGUGAAAUGCGUAGAUAUCAGGAGGAACACCGAUGGCGAAGGCAGGUCUCUGGGCUGACACUGACGCUCAUGCACGAAAGCGUGGGGAGCAAACAGG